ACCCCCGUCGAUGGCGCUCUAGGCUCGCCCGCCGCCACCCUGUCGCCGGCCCCGUCGCUCCCCCGCCCUGUCGCCGGCUGCGUCACUCCCCCGCCCCGUCACCGUCGCUCCCCUGCCCCGUUGCUGGCCCUCCCCCGCCCCGUCGCCGGCCCUCCCCCGCCACCCUGUCGCCGGCCCCGUCGCUCCCUUGCCCUGUCACCGGCCGCGUCACUCCCCCGCCCCAUCGCCGUCGCUCCCCCGCCCCGUCGCCGGCCCUCCCCCUCAUCCACGGCCCACCACACAUCCUGGAAUGCUGUGGUGAUGCAGCUGGGGCAGGCAUCGACGACGCCAUCACCGCGGCACACCACGAUGCCGUAUAUGCAGUCUUGGUCAGUUCGUGGAUAUGAGGCGCUAGUGAAUAGAGCAGUAGAUAGGAGCUCAAGGUUUGCUUUUAGGUGCUCUCAUUCAUGUGGGUGUCUCUGUAGUAGCAGAUCUACGUCAGUGGAUUGACGGCAGCGACGAAUGGCUCGAAGCCGAGAAUAAGCAGCAAGACGAUGAUCAUGGCUCUGCCUAACCAUAGCUUGCAGGCCAUGCAAUCAAAUUUCGUGGAAUACAAUAGUGCGGCCGUCCAGGCAUCAGCCUGUGUAAUGGCUAUAAGCAAUGCAAGACAAGGGGAGAGAACAAUAACAAAUCCAGUUUUAGUGUUUCCGUCAAAGGAGAAGAGGUCUUCUUAUGACCUUGAGGGAGGUGCGGAGUUGAAGAUGAUUACGAUCGUUCGGUAAAGCUAAUGGACUAUUUGUUAGAAGCUUGACCCGGAAAUGUUUCUUAUGCUGAAAUGCUUCGAAAAUGCUCUUAAGCUUGUGUGAUGCUGACGUUUGUCAAGACAUUGAAAACCUGAGCCCAGGAAGAAGUGACUAAGAGGAUGGCAUAGAUAGAAAAUCUCAAUGAGCAAAACUAGACUACGAGAAGGAGAACUCAACCAGAGGAUAGCACUGGCCGGUGGUGUCGCUGUCAUUCAUGUGGGAGGACGAACAUAAACUGAACUUAAAGAGAGGUUGGGAGUUGAGGAUGCUCUAAUGUAACUAGGUGAGUCAAUCAAUGUUUUUUCAUUGAACAUUUCAAGUUGUCCUUUGUAUUUGCUUUUCAAAGAAGCAGAAUUAAGUCAAUUAGUUUGUUGCUUCCUUAAAGCUUCUGAAUUGCUUCUUCUUUUCGCACGCUGCCAUUGAGGAAGGUAUUGUUGUGGAGUGUGAACUCUUUUCAAAUUGGCUGCUAAAGUAGAUGUGUCAAGGAUACCCUGUUUCAUAAGGUACAAGAAACGAAUGACAUUGCCCCGUGCUCCUAAUACCCGCAGCCAACACGGUCCACCACAUGUGGGUCACAAACAAUCAUGUUGAACCAUUGAACAUUUCAGUUUUUCCAUUCAAAUUGAUUGCAAAGAAUGUGGGUGUCAAUGACAACAUUGUUACCGAGAAGGUUAGAUCUCAUUUACUAAUAUAAAGUUCAUAUAUUUCUGCAUAGAUCUGAAUAGCAUAAAAGAUGAUGUCGUACCAGAUUAUUUCUAGCUGCAAGUGUGUGAUCCUUCUGUUCGGUAGUACGAGGACUUGAUGGUUGCUGGUAUCAUCGACCACACUAAAGUUUAUAGUCAUGUAGCUACCCGACACACUUGCUUGCUUGCCAUUCUGAAAUGGAUACAUUAGCGCAGUUAGGCUGGCCGAUGAUGCAAUUUGUGGCAUAAUUUAUUCUACCUUUUUUAAUUGGGGCUGCAUUAUAUAUUUUAUAGGCAGAACAACCAUUUUUAUUUUGGGAGAUUUAGUCUUACUACUUUGUAAUAAAGUGACCAGAUCUAAUCUUAUUAUCACCUUGCAUUUUAUCCAAUGUAUAUUUGGGAUGUCCCAUGCCUAUUUACACCAUUGCUAUAUUUUGCCACUUUAUCCAAUGUAUGAAUUAUCUUAUCUUUGGUCCAUUUUGCAAUUCUAAAUGAUGUAAUUUGAAAAAAAAUGUUCUUCGCUCUCUGGGCUCAAGUGAUCUUAAGCUAAUAGUUCACUUGCAUCUGAUGGUAACAGGGUAAGAUAUAUGCAUAACUUCAAUUCUUCUCUUGCAUGUGCUCGGAACUUACAUAUUGGUUGUGUGUAAAUUCAUCUCAGAAACCAUUUUGCGUGAAAACAUUGGUUAUCGAGGCCACAAACUGAUUCUUCAUCUGAUUAUUGGAUCACAGUGAUGUCUCACUUUUUAAAAUACAAUUUAAACGACAUGCAGUUUUGUAUCCAUUUAAUUUAUUUAUUUGCAAAACAUAUUUUAGUUUUAUACCGUGAACUCACACUCACUUGAUCAACGUUUGAAACGUGAGUUGCACAUGCACGCUUACUAGUGAGUUUCAUAUAUGAUCUGAAUGAAAUGUUUAGGACUUGCGGCAGUGGACUUUGCUACUGGUGCGAUCUAUUUCCUGUUUUUGUCUACUAAUCAUCAGUUACUAGAAUUUACCUUCUGCCUGCUACUGCUUGUUUCUUGACGCCACUAGUUUAUACUGAAAUGUGGAGACUUUACACCUUGCAAGAUCAUUCGGUGGUGGUGACCCAUAUGAUGGCGAUUUGCUCUGGCCAUUCCAGUUUUGGCGGUGGUGGUGGUGGUGCUCCUAUGAUGGUAGACUCGUCUGAUUUCCCUAGCCGCAUCCAUGGUGAUGAAGCUCAGCCUAGGCUAGAACCCCCUCCGAUUUGCUUAAGAUCACGGAAGCUUGGGUUGAUGGAGUGCUUGUAUUUAGUUUUUGUUUU